rnacentral:pre_miRNA from 1 species
UGACUACAGCCACUACUACAAGAUCUUCGAGGACCUGCAGGACAAGAUUCUUGGUGCCGUCAGUGAGAACUCCAGGAUUGUCCUGCAGAUCAACAACGCCUGUCUGGCUGCAGAUG